AAGCGUAGGAUAAAAGUAUUAUAGUCCGAAAUUGACGGUACGUUUAACAGCCUUUUCUUCUUUUUUGGGUUUGGUUCCUUUCGAUGUCUGAUCCAAACCACCAGUUGUAUCUUCUUUAACACAAAAAUGACUUGUUGACAUACAUGAAGCAUAAAAGCUAGGAAACAAAUGUUCUUGUUUGUUUGCAGUCCUGAGCAGGAAGUCCAGAAGAUCUUCAAAUCCAAACACCCAAUGGACACUGAGGUCACCAAAGCCAAGAUUAUAGGUUUUGGUGUGGGUUUGCUGGAGGGCGUUGAUCCUAACCCUGCAAACUUUGUCGGAGCUGGAGUGGUCCACACUAAAUGUUCUCAGGUGGGAUGCACUGCUACGCUCUUGGAAGCCCAUCACACUAGUGAUAUAUAUAAAUAUAUAUUUUACCUUUUUGCACUUUUGAAGGGCAGUAUGACAUCACGCCGGAGACCUUUGCCAUGGUGCCGCCUUUACACUCUUCUUCUACACACACUUUGUACUGUAGCUCACUCUGGUGCCUUUGUCUCACUGAAACACUAGCAGCACAGUGCCUCACUACUUCUACCUGAAUGCACACACUAAAUAUUUCUAUUUUCACCGCCUUCACUCGCUCAUUAAAUGCUCCUCACUGCCUUAGUAGAUAUUUUUUUCCAACUGUUUGAAAAUAAAACCGUCUCCUCCUCAAGUCCAGGUCCAUCUAUUCUAUACAAUUACUGAAAUAUGUAUCAUCUUAACCAGUGGUUCUCAAUCUUUAAAAAAAAGAACCUCUAAGAACCUUCAUACUUUUUUGAUCAUAGACUUAGACAAACUUUAAUGAUCCACAAGGGAAAUUGUUCCACACAGUAGCUCAGUUACAAUGAUGGAAAGUGUAAGGAUGGAAAGGACAAUGCAGGUAUAAAUAAACUAAAUAUAGUGACAUAAAAUAUAACAUUUAUGCAAUAUUUACACAAUCUAUGUACAGUAUUUACAUCAUAUAUGUGCAGUGAGUCUUAUUCUACGUUGUGUAGUUUUUUCUUUUAAGUAAGAGACACUCCACCAUUCCGUCAUUUAUUGGCCACCUGUUUUGGAAACACGAAACACAUAAACAGGUCUGUACUUUCCUGGCGGAGUGAUACCUCAUCAGCUAAAGUCCGAUAGAAGAGGAAAUAAACAACAUUCAUUCAUACAAAAAUAUUAAUUUAAAUUACAUUAACAACAAGGUUUUAUCACACACAAAAAAUAAUAAUACACAAAUCCACAUACCUGUUUUGGAAACGCGAAACACUUUAACAGGUCUCUACUUUUCUGGCGGAGUGAUACC